CCAGACUCCUACGGGAGGCAGCAGUGAGGAAUACUGGUCAAUGGGCGAGAGCCUGAACCAGCCAAGUCGCGUGAGGGAAGACGGUCCUAUGGAUUGUAAACCUCUUUUGCCGGGGAGCAAAAAGCGGUACGCGUACCGCAUCGAGAGUACCCGGAGAAAAAGCAUCGGCUAACUCCGUGCCAGCAGCCGCGGUAAUACGGAGGAUGCGAGCGUUAUCCGGAUUUAUUGGGUUUAAAGGGUGCGUAGGCGGGCUUUUAAGUCAGCGGUAAAAAUUCGGGGCUCAACCCCGUCCGGCCGUUGAAACUGGCAGUCUCGAGUUGGAGAGAAGUAUGCGGAAUGCGCGGUGUAGCGGUGAAAUGCAUAGAUAUCGCGCAGAACUCCGAUUGCGAAGGCAGCAUGCCGGCUCCACACUGACGCUGAGGCACGAAAGCGUGGGUAUCGAACAGGAUUAGAUACCCCCGUA
rnacentral:rRNA from 1 species